CUCCUUUUUUUCUUUGUUUCUCUCUCUCUCUCUCUCUCUCUCACUCCCUCACUCACUCACUCACUCAAACCGGGAAAUGUGCUCAGUGACGUCACCACAGCAAAACAAUGGGAACCGGCCAUCCGCCGCCGGGUCAGGGGUCAGGGCGCGCACACACACACACACACACACACACACAGGCUGACAUGUUAUGUGCUCAACGACAGGCCAGAGACACCACCACAUGGAAGAAUGGAGGCGGUUGGCUGCCCGUCGGCGAAGAAACUUCACUCAUCCCGGGGGCCGAUUCUGUUGAAAGGUCAUGAGGACUCGAAACGUCAACUGUACUCUUCUCCGCCGAUGCUGCCAGACCUGCUGAGUUUUUCCAGAUUUGUACACCUUGUCCUUGUUGGUCACUCAUUCCAACAGGUUUGGAAUUUCUGAUUUCUGAAGUAAAAUGCCCAAUGAAGAGACGAUGGCACACCUUGAAAAACACAAGUCUUGUAAAAACUUAAAGCCAAAAGACAAUGUUAUCUACUCCAUCUCUCAAUUAUAGGAGUGAGGAUCAGUGCAAGGAUGAAAGGGUAAAUAAGGAACAAAUACCAUCACGUUCAGGAACAUCUCUCAUAUUUCCCAAACAAUGAAUUACUUUGAAGUGCAUUUAUUGCUGUUAUGUAGGUAAAUUCAGUCGCCAUUUUGUACACAAGAUUCCCCCAUGCACCAAUGAGAUGAAUUGCCAGUUAAUCUGUUUGUGGUUGAGGGAGGAAUGUUAGCCAGGAUACGAGGAGGACUGAAUAGUCUUUGAAUGGUGCCAGGAGAUAUUUAAAACUUGCGCAAUGUGCUUUGGAGCUUUCUAUCUCAGGAAAAAGAAAGACUGAGGUUAAUGGCUCAUAUCUCAUUGAAACUAUACCUCCUGAUGUAACAAAGAGAGAUGGUUUCAGAAUCAUAAAGAAGCCAGAAGUCUGGAUAGGAAAGCCUCCGUUUUGGACACAAAUUUUGAUACCAAGGGAAUUGAAAAUAACAAGAACUAAGUCUGGCAUAAGUUGAAACAUUCGAAUUCUAAAAUCUUUUGUAAGACAAAUUAAAAUUCUUAAAGCGU